ACUAUAGCUUCGCAAUGACAACCUUAAUCGAAUGUGUAGGAUAGGUGGAAGGUGGUGACACACAAUGACCAAUCCUAAAAGACCACUCUUUCGUCUAAGGAUCUCUAAUCGCCGCACCAAUCAUUCGGGGGAGGCGGGACACUGCGAGGUGGGUAGUCUAUAUGGGACGAAUGCCUCCUAAAGAAUAAUGGAGGUGUGCAAAGGUAGGCUCAAGCUAAGAUUCUGCUCGUGAGCGUAAUGUUAUAAACCUGCCUAAUUGUGAAACCGACAGGUCAAACAGAGACGAAAGUCGGGUGCACACUUCUGAAC
rnacentral:ncRNA from 1 species